rnacentral:rRNA from 1 species
UACGGAAGGUCCGGGCGUUAUCCGGAUUUAUUGGGUUUAAAGGGAGCGUAGGCCGGAGAUUAAGCGUGUUGUGAAAUGUAGACGCUCAACGUCUGCACUGCAGCGCGAACUGGUUUCCUUGAGUACGCACAAAGUGGGCGGAAUUCGUGGUGUAGCGGUGAAAUGCUUAGAUAUCACGAAGAACUCCGAUUGCGAAGGCAGCUCACUGGAGCGCAACUGACGCUGAAGCUCGAAAGUGCGGGUAUCGAACA